UACGUAGGUCCCGAGCGUUGUCCGGAUUUAUUGGGCGUAAAGCGAGCGCAGGUGGUUUAUUAAGUCUGGUGUAAAAGGCAGUGGCUCAACCAUUGUAUGCAUUGGAAACUGGUAGACUUGAGUGCAGGAGAGGAGAGUGGAAUUCCAUGUGUAGCGGUGAAAUGCGUAGAUAUCGGGAGGAAGGCCGGUGGCGAAGGCGGCCUCCUGGGCCUGCACUGACGCUGAGGCGCGAAAGCGUGGGGAGCAAACAGG
rnacentral:rRNA from 1 species